UUAUUUUAUUAGUAUAUAUGUACAUCUAACUACCAAUUAGAAAGUUUUUUUAAUAAAAUAAU
rnacentral:tRNA from 1 species